CUGAUUUAAUCCUAAAGCAGUUCCAGAAAAACAACGAUCAGAUUUUUCUCAACAUUUCUCAGCAAUUUCAUCCCAAAGUAGCAAAGUCUUUUUUGUCGAGUGCAUUUCAAGUCUAUUCUUCUCUAGACGAGUCUUGCAGUAAAGAUGAUCGUUUCGUCCUUCAGGUAGAGAAUCCUAGGCACAGUGCUGCAACGGUGGAGCUUCCACCUGGACUGCAGUAUGUGUGUGUCGUGGGUCUAAGCAGAUGUAAACGCUUUGGGUCAGAGCCUACCCUUUACAAGGUUACUUAUGGUCUCGAUAAAGAAACGAUCAAGGGAGCUUAUGUGGUCAUUAUUGUAGUCAGCCUUUUGACUGCAAUAGUAGUUGUCUCCAUUUUGGCGUAAGUAUUUAUUUACAUCCUUAGCUUAGAACAGUGGCUAUUAUUCAAGAUGUGGCUUUUGCCUACAUGAAGUAUAUUUCAGAAAAAAUCUAGAAAAAUGAGUAGAUUAACUGGCGAGGACUUUUAGGCACACAUUAUAAAAGAUUUAUGAUUUAAUCGACAUAUAAAACAAUUAAUCCCAUAAAGAUUUAUGUAGAAAUAGGGAACACAAUCCCCCCGGUCCUCUCGACCGUGAAGAGCUGUGAAACCAUAAAAAAACUAGCAAGAGACCGUGGAGAGUGGCGUGUUUUUGUCCAGGCCCUAUGUUCCAUGAGAAACCCAAAGGAAUGAUGAUAAUGAUGAAGGAACACAUUGAAACACUAAGCAAUUACCUUAUUACACGUAACAGCAAAAGAACACAAGACGCAGAGGAAGACCAAUCAAUAAGAGCGAGACGACGCAGUGUACUAGAUGAAGCCGUCAGGAAGCAUGUGCUCAGGUCUGGGCAUAAAUGCAGAACCACAAGAAAAUGUGUCACACUGUCAGAGGUUCGACUUGAUAUAUAUAUAUAUUACUGCUGCUUGCUGCUGCUAUGCUCUGCUCGUCUCUUGUUCUUGUUGAC
rnacentral:sRNA from 1 species